GCUCUCUAUGCAUGAACCUUGCUUGGUUUAGCUUCUCCAUUGUUUGUUUCUUGAUUGAGAAGUACACUCAUGUGGGCACUUACAAUCCUGAAACAACGCAGUCUAUGAAGGCAUCGCAGCUGCUACCUGUUACGGAAUAUCUGCUGAAAGCGAGCCAUGAGUGGGAACAAAAUGGAGACAAGAUCAUGUAAACUAAGUUUGUUUUAACUUCACUCUCCAGGACUGAGGAGGCGACAUCUGGCCUGGUUUAAUACACGAUCCAGAAAAGGGGAAGCCAUAGCAGGAAGAAUGGAAUGAAUUAUUCCAGGAAAGAAAGGAACUGCAGCUUCCUCAGUGGCUUACCUUGUGGAUUUGAAUGCUGGGAUGUUUAAAGCUAUCCUGCUAUGAAUUCUUCAAGUAAUGGGGGAUAAUUGUUCC